GGACCCGCACAAGUAGUGGAGCAUGUGGUUUAAUUCGAAGAUACGCGCAGAACCUUACCAACACUUGACAUGUUCGUCGCGACUUUAAGAGAUUAAAGUUUUCGGUUCGGCCGGACGAAACACAGGUGCUGCAUGGCUGUCGUCAGCUCGUGUCGUGAGAUGUUGGUUAAGUCCCGCAACGAGCGCAACCCUCACUUUUAGUUGCCAUCAUUUAGUUGGGCACUCUGAAAGAACUGCCAGUGAUAAGCUGGAGGAAGGUGGGGAUGACGUCAAGUCCUCAUGGCCCUUACGUGUUGGGCUACACACGUGCUACAAUGGUAGGGACAGAGAGUUGCCAACCCGCGAGGGUGAGCU
rnacentral:rRNA from 1 species